rnacentral:rRNA from 1 species
AUACUUAGUGGCAGACGGGUGAGUAACAUGUGGGUAUCUACCCUUUGGCCUGGAAUAACACGAGGAAACUUGUGCUAAUACCGGAUAAGUCUUUACGGAGAAAGCUUUAUGCACCAUUGGAUGAGCCCGCACUUGAUUAGUUUGUUGGUAGGGUAAUGGCCUACCAAGACUAUGAUCAAUAGCUGAUUUGAGAGGAUGAUCAGCCACAUUGGGACUGAGACACGGCCCAAACUCCUACGGGAGGCAGCAGUGGGGAAUCUUGCACAAUGGAGGAAACUCUGAUGCAGCGAUGCCGCGUGAGUGAAGAAGGCCUUUGGGUUGUAAAGCUCUUUCGUCGGGGAAGAAAAUGACUGUACCCGAAUAAGAAGGUCCGGCUAACUUCGUGCCAGCAGCCGCGGUAAUACGAAGGGACCUAGCGUAGUUCGGAAUUACUGGGCUUAAAGAGUUCGUAGGUGGUUGAAAAAGUUGGUGGUGAAAUCCCAGAGCUUAACUCUGGAACUGCCAUCAAAACUUUUCAGCUAGAGUAUGAUAGAGGAAAGCAGAAUUUCUAGUGUAGAGGUGAAAUUCGUAGAUAUUAGAAAGAAUACCAAUUGCGAAGGCAGCUUUCUGGAUCAUUACUGACACUGAGGAACGAAAGCAUGGGUAGCGAAGAGGAUUAGAUACCCUCGUAGUCCAUGCCGUAAACGAUGUGUGUUAGACGUUGGAAAUUUUUUUUCAGUGUCGCAGGGAAACCGAUAAACACACCGCCUGGGGAGUACGACCGCCAGGUUAAAACUCAAAUGAAUUGACGGGGACCCCCCCA